rnacentral:rRNA from 1 species
CUUGAACGCUGGCGGCAGGCCUAACACAUGCAAGUCGAACGAGUGGCGGACGGGUGAGUAAUGUCUGGGAAACUGCCCGAUGGAGGGGGAUAACUACUGGAAACGGUAGCUAAUACCGCAUACCAUCGGAGGUGCCCAGGUGGGAUUAGAUAGGAGGUGGGGUAAAGGCUCACCUAGGCGACGAUCCCUGGCUGGUCUGAGAGGAUGACCAGCCACACGGGAACUGAGACACGGUCCAGACUCCUACGGGAGGCAGCAGUGGGGAAUAUUGCACAAUGGGCGCAAGCCUGAUGCAGCCAUGCCGCGUGUAUGAAGAAGGCCUUCGGGUUGUAAAGUACUUUCAGCGGGGAGGCGUUACCCGCAGAAGAAGCACCGGCUAACUCCGUGCCAGCAGCCGCGGUAAUUC